ACGGGUGAGUAACGCGGGGGAAUCUACCCAUCUCUACGGAAUAACGCAUGGAAACGUGUGCUAAUACCGUAUACGUCCUUCGGGAGAAAGAUUUAUCGGAGAUGGAUGAGCCCGCGUUGGAUUAGCUAGUUGGUGGGGUAAAGGCCUACCAAGGCGACGAUCCAUAGCUGGUCUGAGAGGAUGAUCAGCCACACUGGGACUGAGACACGGCCCAGACUCCUACGGGAGGCAGCAGUGGGGAAUAUUGGACAAUGGGCGCAAGCCUGAUCCAGCCAUGCCGCGUGAGUGAUGAAGGCCCUAGGGUUGUAAAGCUCUUUCACCGGUGAAGAUAAUGACGGUAACCGGAGAAGAAGCCCCGGCUAACUUCGUGCCAGCAGCCGCGGUAAUACGAAGGGGGCUAGCGUUGUUCGGAUUUACUGGGCGUAAAGCGCACGUAGGCGGACUAUUAAGUCAGGGGUGAAAUCCCGGGGCUCAACCCCGGAACUGCCUUUGAUACUGGUAGUCUUGAGUUCGAGAGAGGUGAGUGGAAUUCCGAGUGUAGAGGUGAAAUUCGUAGA
rnacentral:rRNA from 1 species